UGCAAAAUUUGUAACGAAACUUUUCAACAUUUGACCGAAGGAAAUUUAGGAGGGACUGGACCAUUUACAAGACAUAUGAGAGCUGUCCAUCCUAUAGAAAUAUAGAAAGGGUCAAUAAUUAUGGGAAGCAAUGAUUUGUAAGUUUUAUACUUUUAGUAUGUUUGACUAUUUGUACUUUGUUUCAGAGAUUGGAUUAGAUAGAUCGAAACGAAGAAAUCAGGAAAGGAAGAUGUUCACAAUUCACAGUUCAUACUUCAUAGCCCAGAAGACGAAGAACUUUAACUUCGAGAUAUUGAUUAUGAUGAAGAUGAAGUGAUGAACUGAUGAAGUGAUGCAAAACAUUUGAAAUNNN
rnacentral:lncRNA from 1 species